AAUUUUAGCUCUGGUAGCGUAUACUAAAUUUGUUGCAGUUAAAAAGCUCGUAGUUGGAUUCCUGCUCUGGACGUAGGGGGCCGCUAACGCGGUCCACCAUGCGCACCCGGCAUUCUUCCCGCCACUCCUAGGAUCGUUGUAAAAGGCGGUCUUAGGGUGGAUGGCGGAGAUCUCUUUGCAAAAAUUAGAGUGCUCUAGGCGGACUACGAAGCUCUAAUAGUAAUGCACGGUACGAUGAAACAUGAUUUUGGCUCUUAUUCGGUUGGGGCACGGAGACCGAGAUAAUGAUUAAUAGGAGCAGACGGGGGCAUUCGUAUUCCGACGCUAGAGGUGAAAUUCUUGGACCGUCGGAAGACGUAUCACUGCGAAAGCAUUUGCCAAGAAUGUUUCCGUUGACCAAGAACGAAAGUGUGGGGCUCAAAGAAGAUUAGAUACCUUUGUAGUCUUGUACCCUAAACGAUACCCGCCAGCGAUCCGGCUACGUACGAACGUGACGCGCCGGGCAGCUCUUCCGUGGAAACCAGAA